rnacentral:snRNA from 12 species
AUACUUACCAGGCAGGGGAAAACCAUGACCACUAAGGUGGUUUUCCUAGUUGUAGGGGAAAACCAUUUUCUUGGCAGGUAGUAGUACCUUGACUGAGGUAAGGCAUAAUUAGCCUCUCACUUUCACUUGCAGUGGGAAGAUUUUGGCUAUACAGCAACUUUGUGGAAAUGGGAGAGUCCUCCCUAGCUUGCUCCUC